AUUGAACACCAAAAACACGGUUCUUGUGUUAAAAUAGCAUUUGCUGAACUACUGUAGAGUAAACCGCUGAAUGUGUAAAGAUGCUAGACACUACAGUUGAUUUUACAGUAAAAACACGAUUAUGAUAACAGGCUCUAGUAAACACACAUAACUUAAUUCUCUGAAGUGGAUUUACAUGUUGUAAACCACAUCUUAAAGAUGCUUAUUAAAUGUUUAUUUAACAUCUGACAGGAACAUCUUCUGUAAGUAUUGUGGCUUAUGAGUGAUGGAUUAUGUAUGAGUGAUGUGUGUGUGCUAUUAUGUAGAAUUCACAGUUGUCAAAACUGUUUACUUUACAUGAAUGAAAAUAACGUAAAUAAAUAAAUCUACAUAAAAUAAACAAAAGUUUAAUCUGUUUUAUUUGUCUGUUAGUACUGUUGAUAAAUGAAGGAACAUUUGUGUUGAUAAAAAGAGAGUUAACAGAUCAUCAUCAUCAUCAUGUGAAUGUAGUGUUGAGCACAUCAAUCUCAGAGAAACUUGAAUCUUGUCUGAUGUUACAGGGACAGAUGAUCACGUGUGUUUAUCCGGUGGAGAGAGGCUGAUGAAGGACUGAUGCCAUCAAAGGCUUUGAGUGACGAUAGUCACCCGAUUAAUACUGAGAUUCUAGAUGUUUUUAUUUAAAAAGGCUUAAAAGAGGUGUAGCGAGGAAUUUCACUACAAUGUAGGGCAGCGACUGAUGAGGAUUGAGGCUCUGGAACUUAACAUACACGGUAGCUCCCCAGAGUAUAACAGUGUUGAUUAACCCCUCUUCCCCUCUUCAGACCACAAGACAGUAGGAAUGCCCCUACUCCAAGAUAUCAAAGUUUUACACUUAUUUCUUAAAUGUUUAGCAGAAUUAAACAAAAGAAAGAAAACAACAGUCCUGAAAUAAAUUCUUUGUUUCACUCUAUUUUUUAUAUAUUUCUUGAAAAAUCAUAAGAAAGUUUUGUUCAGAUUCAAACUUUUGUUCAGUUUCUUCUCUUUCAACAGUAAUACUCAAAAUCAGAAAAACAACAACAGUUCUGAUAGAAUGCUCAGAUGGUACUCAGUUCACUCAAAAGUACAUUACAGAUGUUUCAUUCCAUAUCAGAUAUUUCCAGUUCACAUACCUGAGUGAGAUUCACAACCCCAAAGUUAAAGUUUUACCUCACAGUAGAACUGGGCUGGUGUUGGAGUGUCCAGAUAUGGCAGGGUAAUUAAAUCAAACAAAUAGCCACCUGUUCAAAAACAGAAAGUCCCUUCCGUUUCUUCAACGACAGGAAAAAUAA